rnacentral:lncRNA from 10 species
CGCGCGGAGGAGCCGGGAGCGCCACCUCAGUCCCCCCACCGCCCCACCCCGCGCAUGCUCCCAAGAGCCCCAGACCACCCUUCUCCGGCUUCCGAGAUACUUCAUCCGUUGCUUGUCCUGGCCCACCGCUCAGUCCCCCAACUCUAGGACGACAGAGGUUAGGGAUAAGGGGAAUGAGACACGCGCCUUGGCUGCAGCAUUCAAGGUAAAAACUCCUGGAAGAAAAGAUCCUGCAAUUUGGCUUUUUGUGAGAUGGAAAAGAUUACACCUUGCCCUGCAAACUUCCCCCCUUUAAAGGCGAAGGUUUGUUAGGUUAGUUAGCCUGUGAGAAAACUGUGCGUUCUUAGCAAUCAAAGGCCAGACAUCUGGGGGUACAGGGGGGAGGAAGACUAGGAUAAGAGACUCUAGACGGGGACAGAAUUAAAAGGAAAAAAAAAUUAAAUAA